CUGAAGCUUAAUUUGAAACUUAAAAACAUAGUAGCAAAUAAUACAAAAGACAAAAAUUAUAUUGAUAAAGAUAUAAAAAGGUACAAAGAAGGCCAAUAAGUAUCAUCAAGUUACAUGAGUCUCCCAUCCUUCACAAAACAUACAAAGAAGCAAGACAACUUUGUGUCCAAGACAAAAACAAACUAAUUAUCCUAACUCACUAGAUGAUGUUCAUGACACUAAUUAUAACAAGACAAACUAAUUAACCUAAGCAAAUCCUCCGCCAAUUGCCAAACCAAGCAACCAUCUUUCACGUUUUUAAGAAGUCCCUGAAAAAUUAAAAAGAAGAGAAUGGAAAAGUUUAGCAGUAGCUACAUUUCAUAACUUUGAGCCAAUAUCCAACUAAAUUAUCAUGAGCAACAACAUUCAUAUAUAGUUCUCCUAACAUGCUUAUCAAAGACAAACUCAAACUUAGACAUUAAUAACAUGUCCUCAUAUUACAGUUUUAUUCCCAAGUUAACAAAUGAUUGACUGCACCAGUUACGGAUUCAAGAUGGAACUUCAGAUACUGUCCUACUCCUUGCACCAGUUACCCACUUUAAAAAGAUAAGAGUUUCCAUGACAUAUGUAACUAAAACUGCUAAAUCUAUUGCAAUAAAGUCAAACUUACCCCAUAUUCAGACACAGGGAUACCCUGUUGGGCACGCACUUAGUGUGCUUGUCGUCGAGUCAACCACUGCAAGGGGUUAAACAAACCAAAAUGAUCACUGCAACAAUCUAGAUAUGAAAUAAUGAAGAUGAAUACUAUUCUUUUGCAGAUA
rnacentral:lncRNA from 1 species